GCGGCAGCCGGCGCUCCUCUCUCCGCGGACCAGCGACGCGGCAGCCGGCGCUCCUCUCUCCGCGGACCAGCGACGCGGCGGCCGUCCUCCCGCGUCCCCGAGCCGCUCUGCCCGCAGUGCCCCCGCGGCGCGGCCCUAGCGCAGCCCCAGUUGAAGGAAAUGAGUGAAGUUUGAACCUGGAAGGUCUUGUGGAGCUUCAAGAGUCACCAACGUUAAGGUUGGAAACCAAGAGUGGAGAAAAGCAGAGUCUGGGUAGAUACACAAACAAGAACGAAAUCAUGUGUUCAUUUAUGACACGACCUUAUGUUUCCCUGUGAACAGAGAAAGAUCUGGACACCAGAAUCUUUGCCUUCUUCCUGUUUUCAAAAUGUGUGUGGAUAUGUACAUUGAAAUGUAGGUAGAAAUGUCUAUUAAAAUUAUAUUUUGAAUAAAUGGACAGAUGUUGUUGGCAACAAGAGGCCUGUGGAGAUAAUAGCCAAAUAUAUAUAUAUAUUUAUAUAUAUUAUAUUAUAUUGAUUUAUAUAUUAUAUUUAUAUAUCAAUAUAUAUAAUCCAUCAAUAUAUCUUCUCACCCCAGUCACUAAUCUACAGACCAUUUCACCUGCAAAUAAGAGACCCUGGGGAAACAUACUAGUGUGUGCCCUGAGUAGGGCAGGAAGUAAUUCAGAGAAAUCUCAUGAUAGCCUUUUUUGUGACUGUUACAUGCCAGUUUUGUGGAUUCCAGAAUUUUAUGACUGCACCGUAAUCAUUGCAUUAUUAUCAGAACUGGACCCCUGACGUUAAGCAUUUGUCUCCCUGGGAUCUCAUCUCCCACAUCCCUUAAGAUUUGAUUUCAUGUCUUUAUACCCAAGCCUUAGAGAGGUAAGCAGAACCCAAGCCCACCCAUUACCCUAAGGCAAAAACGCUUAACCAAGGUGAUCCUACCCCAGGCAAAGAGAAGAUACCAACAAAGAGAAGGUACACUUUUCCAGAGAUGUCAGAAUACAUUUGUAAAUCCUCAUUUCGAGUAUUAUGUUGCUAUAAAUGCUAAUGUUUCAAGAAUUAAAUUUUAAUUAUUUAUUUUUAUUUGAAAAGUAGAGAGAAAGAGAAAUUAUCCAUCUACUUGCUCACUCCCCCCAGAGGCCUGCUGUGGGGAGCAACUCGGACUAGACUAAGUUACUGGAAUUAAGACUUAUUCUAUGCAUCUGCUCUCCCACAAUAUGGCGCUGGGAGAGGAGAAAACAGCUUCUACACAGCUACCUCCAGUUCAGCCAAUAAACUGUAGGACUUGCUCCUGAUUGGAGAGCAGCGUACUCGGCGUGUGGGCAGCCGAGUUAGGAUUGGCGGAGGAGGACUAUAAAGGAGGAGAGAGACGGCAUGCACCGGGAACAUCUAAGAGGAACAUCUAAGGGGAACACCUGUGCAGCCCCCGAGAGAGCCGGCCGGCGGUGUGCCGCUCCCCUGUGGAAGUGGGGAAAGUGGCCAGGGGGAACCGCCCUUCCACGGAGGUGGAAGGGACAGUAGCCAACCCGGGAAGAACCAGCAGCAAACCCGGGGAGGGCCGAGCAGACGAAAGAACAGCGCAGGGUCCUGUGUCGUUCCUCCACGAAGACGGGGAGCGACAUAAUGGUGCCGUGACUCGGAUAGGAAACCUAGGACGGAUAGGAAACUUAGGAGGGAAGAAACGGGAAGAAGUGGAAAAUAUCGGAGAGAGAGACUAGCAAACAGCCUAGGGAAAAGCCGGACGAAAAAGGUGCCGGAAAAAGCUAUUGAAAGCCUAGGCAUAGACUCAGAUACGGACUACGGGGGGAAGCUGGGAGAAAUCUCUAAGGUCGAAAGCGAAAAUGAAAGCUAGAACAAACAGACUCGGAUACGGACUGUGGAGAGAGGCCAGGAGAAAUGAGGGAGGAGUAUUGUUGGAGGAAAGCUUGGGGAAAUAUACCGGGUAGAGAAAAAUGUUAGGGAAAUUGAAGCCGCGGGGGGCAGGCCGAGGCGGAGACGAGAGCCACUUUGGGAUUCGUCGAGUUAGCCUGGGAAUAAGGGGCGAAAAGUUAAAACCAGAAGCGGAAACGUAAGCCAGGUUGGAAUCCGUCUGAUUAGCCCGGGGAGCAAAGGACGGGAAGCCAAAUCGUGGGGCGGAAACGUGAGCUGGGUUGAAUUCGCCAGGUUAGCCCAGGGAACUUAGAUUGAAUACUAGUGGCGGAGAUGUGAGCUGGGGCUGUGGGACUCACGGAGGCUGCCGCGCGCAGAGAAAGCGUGCGGGGCACAAGUAGAUAGGGAACGCGGGGCUAGCAUGGAGACCGCGGAGUGCGCGCGCGAAGCCAAGCCGCGCAAAGCCGGGAAGCCGCGCAGAUGAGAGAGGCGCGGGCUGAAGUGGCUCAGAGCCGGGAAGCUGCCGAGAAGCAGCCUCGGGGCGGGUGCCGGGAAGCUGCAGGGAUAAGAGAAACAGAAGUUUAGAAGUAAAAUGAGAGAAAUAGGAAUGCUGGUAGAUAGAAGUAAAAUAGGAGAAAUAGGAAUGCCCGGAGAUAGUGAAAUAGAGAAAGGCCUCCCCACAAUACCGCAAUGAGAAGGCUUGGAUUCGGUCUGCCUGAUUAGUAAGGCGGUAAGCACCAGCAGGCAGCUCGACCAGAGUGUGAGCUGCAGGUCACCGAAGAUAGGCACGAAUCAACACCAAUAAGCCUCCCCACAAUAUGGCAAUGAGAAGGCUUGGAUUCGGUUUGCCUGAUAGGGCUUGUAAGCACCUGCAGGCAGAGCAGAGCAUGCGCUGCAGGGCACCGAACUCAGGCACGCAUCAGCGCCUAAAAACCUCCUCACAACAUGGCAAAGAGAGGACCCGGAUUCGGUUUGCCUGAUUGAUAGGACUUGUAAGAACCUGUGGCAACUCUAGCAAGCAGAGCAGAGUGUGUGCCGCAGGGCACCGAAGACAGGCGCGUAUCAACACCAAAAAAUAAAAAGAAAGGGGGAUCUGUGGGGAGCAACUCGGACUAGACUAAGUUACUGGAAUUAAGACUUAUUCUAUGCAUCUGCUCUCCCACAAUAUGGCGCUGGGAGAGGAGAAAACAGCUUCUACACAGCUGCCUCCAGUUCAGCCAAUAAACUGUAGGACUUGCUCCUGAUUGGAGAGCAGCGUACUCGGCGUGUGGGCAGCCGAGUUAGGAUUGGCGGAGGAGGACUAUAAAGGAGGAGAGAGACGGCAUGCACCGGGAACAUCUAAGAGGAACAUCUAAGAGAAACACCUGUGCAGCCCCCGAGAGAGCCGGCCGGCGGUGUGCCGCUCCCCUGUGGAAGUGGGGAAAGUGGCCAGGGGGAACCGCCCUUCCACGGAGGUGGAAGGGACAGUAGCCAACCCGGGAAGAACCAGCAGCAAACCCGGGGAGGGCCGAGCAGACAAAAGAACAGCACAGGGUCCUGUGUCGUUCCUCCACGAAGAUGGGGAGCGACAUAAUGGUGCCGUGACUCGGAUAUGAAGCCUAGGCAGGGUUUAGUGUCGUUCCUCCAUGAAGAGGGGGAGCGACAGCCUGCAGUAACAGGGACUGACACAUACCAAAGAUAAGAGUAAAGAAUUCAAUAUGGAUCCGUCAUGUGGGUGGUAGGGACCCAAGCACUUGAGACAUCACCUGCUGCCUUCUAGGAUACACAUUAGCAGGAAGAUGAAUUUGGAAGUUGAGUAGUCAGGACUCAAACCAACCACUCUGAAAUGGGAUGUAGGUGUCCAAGCAGUGUUUUAUCUGCUGCCAAAGCACCUAUCCAAAGAAUCACUUUCAUGGGCUAGAGUUGUGGUGCAGCUAGUUAAAAGUUAAACAGAGGGCUAGUUUAAGUCCCUGGAGCUCCCUUUCCAAUCAACCAUUCCGCAAAUGUGCCUAGAUGGCAGCAAAUUAUGGCUCAAGUAAUUGGCCCCUGCCACCAGUGUGGAGACUUGGUGGAAUGCCUGGCUCUUGGCUUUGACUUGGCCUACUCUGUCCCUAGCUGUUGUAGCUAUUUGGGGAAUGAAGCAGUAAGUGGAAGAUCUCUCCCUCUUUCUCUCUCUCUCCCUCUUCUCUCUCCAUCACUGUGCCUCUCAGAAAAAUAAGUCAUUUUAGAAAAGAUUCACUUUAAGAAUUUUUAAAUUGUUGUUCCAUUGAUCUCUGUUCCCAUAACCACUGAGAGUGCAUCAACUGGCAAACUUUUCAGGACACCUGUUAUACUGAAGACUGGGUAAGGAAAUUAUGGGAUAUGUACACCAUGGAAUACUACACAGCAGUAAAAAGAAAAUGAAAUCCUGUCAUUUGCAACAAAAUGAAUGAAACUGGAAAACAUCAUACUUAGUGAAAUAAGCCACUCCCAAAGGAACAAAUACCAUAUGGUCUCCCUGACCUGUGAUAACUAAUAGAGCACCUAAAAGGCAAUCUGUAGAAGUGAAAUUGACACUCUGAGAAGCAAUGACUUUGAACAGCCUUUGUCUUGAAUAUAGAAGAACAGUUUUUUCUCAUACUAUUUGUUGAACUUUUAGCAUAGAGAUGAUCAUAUGUGUAUAAAGUUAAUUAAAAUAUAUCUUAGUAAAAAAUAAGAGUAGGAAUAAGAGAGGGAGGAGGAAGGGGAUUGGGAGUGUGGUUGGAGCAUGGGUGUGGUGGGAAGAAUCACCAUGUUCCUAAAGUUGUGACUGUUAAACGUGUGAAGUUUGUAACUUUAAAAUUGUAUGGUUCUGCAUACAUUCCUAUGGACCUACUUCUAAGGAUACAGUUUAAAAACUUGCUAUGUGACCCCAAAUCCCCUUAAGCUGAGUGGUAAAAAUAGCAUUUUAAGUGUUAAAUUGAGCAUAUGGACAGGAUUAAGUGUUAAAGUGAUCAUAUAAAUAGGAUUAAGUGCUUCAUACUAAUAAUAAAUAGAAUUAAAAAGAAGUGAUUGCUCCAACAUGGGGAGCCGUCCAUACAACAGACUCAUUGAAUGAUAAUCACUUUAAAUAGCACUCUGACCUCAAAAAUCAGCCCUUAAGGCAUUCUGGUCUGGCUGAAAAGCCCACGAGAGCAUUUCAGGCAUGGAAAGGCAAGACACUGUGGCAAAAAGUGUCCUACAUGAAGGACCUCUGUGACUGAGAGCCUAGUGGAAAGAAAUGGUCAUCAAAGAAGGCAUUACUUUUCUCUGAAGGGAGGCGAGAACCUCUACUUUUCUUAUGGCCCUGUAUAAAUACUGACAGUUUGUGGUCACAAAAGGCCUGGGCAGCUCAUGUCAAGAGCCUCAGGUGAUCACUGAUGUCAGACAUAAGAGUGUUAAUUAUUAGCAACAGGAGUUGCUGUGCAGUAACUUCCCAUGCAUGACCUCUGUCCUCAAAAAGUAGUAUUAUGAGGCCGGCACCGCGGCUCACUAGGCUAAUCCUCCGCCUAGCAGUGCCGGCACACCAGGUUCUAGUCCCGGUCGGGGCGCCAGAUUCUGUCCCGGUUGCCCCUCUUCCAGGCCAGCUCUCUGCUGUGGCCAGGGAGUGCAGUGGACGAUGGCCCAGGUGCUUGGGCCCUGCACCCCAUGGGAGACCAGGAAAAGCACCUGGAUCCUGGCUCCUGCCAUCGGAUCAGCGCGGUGCACCGGCCGCAGCACGCCGGCCGCGGUGGCCAUUGGAGGGUGAACCAACGGCAAAGGAAGACCUUUCUCUCUGUCUCUCUCUCUCACUGUCCACUCUGCCUGUCAAAAAAAAAAAGUAGUAUUAUGAGUGUUAAUAGUAGACCAUCAAAAAUAUUUUUCAUUUUAAUGUAUUAGGUGAAGGAUAUUCUGCCUCAUAAACUAUAUUUAUGUCUAAGUGUUCACAAAAGAUGUAUCAUUCUUGGGUUCUUCUUCAAAGUUAAUUAAGUUCCUUAAGAAAAAAGAAUGCUUAAAAAUUUAAAAAAAUUUCAGAAAAGUUUACUUUUAUUGAAAAAAAAAAAGAUAGUACAGAGAACAGGGCACUACUUUUUUGGACUGGUGCCUACAAUAUGGCUUUCCACUUGACAUACACCCAAAUAGGUAGAUAAAGUGAACUCAGCAUUUUCAUGUUAUCACCCUAUAUACUUUGAGUGCAUUAAGUUGUCACAAGCUUAUUUGAUAAUAAACUUAUUCAUAAAAUUAAAGGACACAUCUCACUGUUUUCCCUACAAUUUUAUAAAUGAUUUCCAAAAUAUCUGUCUAGGAAAGAGCAAAAAUCAGUCUGAAUAAAAAAUGUUAGAUGUGAAUCCCUGACUCAAACUCAGACAUUCUUAAUUCUUAAGUAUCUGCAAUAAAAUAACAAAAAGUGUGGGUAAAAUACAUUUUUAGAGUUUGUUAUUAUCUGAUAUUAUGGUAAUCAAAACCCUACAGUGCAUGUUUUGAAAUUAUAUUGAGUACAUUUUCUUUUUUCAAAACUCUCCACUUUCAGUGACCUGUGAACACUAGAUUCUCUUCGGAGAGGUAUUCUGACCAAGGACAGGAUGAAUACAGGCGUCACCAAAUUGAUUCCUUAUGAAUGUGGAUGAACAGUUCUGCUUCUGCAGGGAAGGAUUCUUGCUGCUGUUCAAGGAAAACUGGAGAGAUGAGUCUGGGUUGGUGUCCUGGUGUCAAGGACAAUUUAUGAGACGAUGCAAUGGUGAGAGAAGAAAUGAAGUUUUAUUUGAGUAAGAAACAGAGAAGCUCCCUGCAAAGGGAAGGGCCUGGUGAAAACGAGACCAAGCCACUGAGGUCUCACAGUCUAGGGGUAUUUGUAUGUCUUUAACACAUUCUUUUCAAAUGGCAAAGGCAGUUAUACAUUAGCUAUUGUGAAAGCAGGGGUAGUCCCAAUGGAACCUUUUCUAACUUGUUUUUGUCAAAACUUGUUGACAAACAAGGCUAAAGAAAAACCAAGUGAUUAUAUUAAUUGAUGAAAAAACAGUAAAGAAUUCAGUGCCAAUUCGUGAGUUAAAUAAAAACCUUCCUACUUACAAGCUUCCUCCAACUUAUGAGGAGCACCUAUUAAAAACCUACAACAAACAUCAUAGUUAAUGGUGAGACUAACUGCUUUUUUAAUAAGAUGGAGAAUAAGACAAGAAUGUAUUUCUCUACAUUGUGCUGCAAGUUCCAGCCAUAUUAAUAAGGCAAUUAAGAGAUGUAAAUGAUAUGCAAGUUAAAAAGAGAGAAAUUAGGGGAUAGCGCUAUGGUGUAGCAUGUUGAAGCCCUGGCCUGAAAUGCUGGAAUCCCAUAUGGGCGACGGUUCAAAACCCAGCUGCUCCACUUCCUGUCUAGCUCUCUGCUAUGGCCUGGGAAACAGAAGAUGGUCCAGGUCCUUUUGCCCCUGCACCCACGUUGGAGACCUGGAAGAAGCUCCUGACUCCUGAUUUUGGAUUGGCACAGCUCCGGCUAUUGUGGCCAUCUGGGGAGUGAACCAGCUGAUGGAAAACCUCUCUGUCUCUACCUCUCUUUGUAACUCUGUCUUUCAAAUAAAUAAAAUAAAUCUAUAAAAAGAGAGAGAGAGAAGUGAAACUGUUUCUAUUUGCAGAAGAUGCAGAUCUCUACAGAGAAAGUUCCAAGGAAGAUUUUUAAAAGA